rnacentral:lncRNA from 1 species
CUUGUGCUGCAAUGGCUAGAUUUAAAAUGAUGGCAUUAAUUUCAACGUUGCGAAAAGACUUAAAGACGCUCUUGUUGAAAAGAGAAAUUUGGCAGAACACAGAGUUUGAACUUUGAAGAUGUUAAGAAGCCUUUUUCAAGACAGAGACGUAAUGGAAAUGGUAAAAAGAAGAAUGUAGACUAUAUGUUAGCAUCCAAGAGACAAGUUCAUAGAUUGUGUAA